CGGCGGACGGGUGAGUAAUGCCUAGGAAUCUGCCUGGUAGUGGGGGACAACGUUUCGAAAGGAACGCUAAUACCGCAUACGUCCUACGGGAGAAAGCAGGGGACCUUCGGGCCUUGCGCUAUCAGAUGAGCCUAGGUCGGAUUAGCUAGUUGGUGAGGUAAUGGCUCACCAAGGCGACGAUCCGUAACUGGUCUGAGAGGAUGAUCAGUCACACUGGAACUGAGACACGGUCCAGACUCCUACGGGAGGCAGCAGU
rnacentral:rRNA from 1 species